rnacentral:rRNA from 1 species
AUGCUGGUCAGCCGACAGACGACGGUGCAUCCCGUGGCGGCGCCGCCGCUGCAGGUAGAGCUAGCGGAUGCUCCCCCGCCCGGAGUGUGGAUGAAUAGCCCGCAGGGGUCGGCGGGGACGAUUGGCGGGGUCGGCCUCCGCCUCCUGCAGGCCUUGUCCGCGGCCGCCUCGAUCGCCGUCAUGGCGUCCACCGGGGUCUUCCCCUCCUUCUCCGCCUUCAGCUACCUCAUAGCAGCUGCCAGUCUGCAAUGUUUGUGGAGCCUCGCCCCAGCCUUUGUGUAUAUCUAUGCACUUCUCGUCAAACGUUCCUUGCUAAAUCUCCGAGCUAUGUUCAUAUUUUCCGUUGGAGACUGGAUCACAGGGACGCUAACCUUGAGUGCAGCAUGUGCAUCAGCUGGUGUCACCAUUGUUAUUGAUAAUGAUAGGAAGAUAUGUGCGGGCAAUCUUUGUGCAAGGUUUAUGACUGCUAUUGGAAUGGCUUUCAUCAGCUGGUUUGCACUUGCACCAUCCUUUCUCUUUAACUUCGUGCUCGUGGUUACCACAUUUGCAAGUUUGUUGGCACCUUGA